GAUGAAGAACGCAGCGAAAUGCGAUACUUGGUGUGAAUUGCAGAAUCCCGUGAACCAUCGAGUCUUUGAACGCAAGUUGCGCCCGAAGCCAUUAGGCCGAGGGCACGCCUGCCUGGGUGUCACACAUCGUUACCCUCGCGCCAACGUCCAGUGUUGGGCACGGCGCAGGGCGUAUGCUGACCUCCCGCGAGCGGGGUCUCGUGGUUGGUUGAAAAUCGAGUUCGCGGUCGAGUGUGCCGUGAUGAAAUGGUGGAUGGGCGACGCCCGAGGCCAAUCCAAUCACGCGCGACUCUGUCCGGCUUGGACUCCUGGACCCCUUGGGCGUCUCCGGACGCUCCCCAGAGAGACCUCAGGUCAGGCGGGGCUACCCGCUGAGUUUAAGCAUAUCAAUAAGCGGAGGA
rnacentral:misc_RNA from 1 species